AAAACUUUAGACUCAGUUUGAAUGCUCAUGCAGCAUGCCCACGUGACUGCACGUUGCACGCGUACAUGACUUUCCGUUUGUGCCUUGAAUAAUGAAUAAGGCUACGUCCACACGUACCAGCGUAUUUUUGAAACCGCUGAUUUUUCUAUGCGUUUGCACCUUUUGUCCACACGUAAUGUAUGUCUGGCCGUACAUUGUGUUUGUAUUUCCAGGCACAUUUCACGAAGCAGAACGCAGUCUUCAGAGAUAUCCACGUGAACGCUGUGAUACGUCUGACCUUCAGUCCGAAGAAGAAACCCAGACCAGUCUUAAAAGAAAGCACAAACCAAAUCCCCUGUACACAUAUACGGACUCAGAGGAUGAGCAGCCUACAAAAAAACGAGUGAAAAUACCAGCCCUCAUCACUCCGCAGUCUGCCCCCCAGCCCACUGAUAGCAACCAUCAUAAUGCCCCACCCAGCUUCCGGCACCUUUCGCCACUCCGGCACAAACCGACACAGCUUUGCGAUCUCGCCAGCAUGCAGAGUCUGAUGUCUUCCCUAUAGAUGAUUCCAGAGACUCUGUGAGGCCACUAUUACAAGG
ensembl:lncRNA